GGAAAAGGCAAAAUCCGUCGAGAAAUUUCCCGAAGCCGCGACGGAUUAAGUACGUCGCGGCUGAGGUAAAGGACGAGAUACUAGAAUGAAUUAAUUGCAAUUUUAUUGGGUCUGUACGGAAAAAAUUUUGGACCCCUAAAAUGGUACAAUGUCCGAAAAUUUUUUGGCGCCGGGGGGGGGAGGUCGCCAAAAAUAAAUUGUUCGGAGAAAAAUUUUUGGAGCCUAUUUUUAGUGGAGCAAAGGGGCCCAAAGUGGCCGAUUGACGGAGGGCCCCCAGCGGUUGCGUUACGCCACUGACACUAUUGCACUAUUAAUUAAGAUGGUUGUGUGGGUGGUGAUCAUCUGUGAUCACACUUACUCCUCUGUUUACACUUUUAAAUUGCCCACACGCUUGCCACUAGAGUUUGCAAUGGCUGGCAUACGCAUAUUUUUUAAACUUACUGGAUAAUUGCUGGAAAAAAGAAGAUUAAGUUGUCUAGUUAAAACUUUCAUUAUUUUCGAUAUUUAAAAAAGAAUAUUGAUGUUUCUGAAAUAUCAACAUUUACCAA